rnacentral:pre_miRNA from 1 species
AAAGUACUCCCUCCGUCCGGAAAAACUUGUCGGAGGAAUGGAUGUAUCUAGACAUAUCUUAGUUCUAGAUACAUUCAUUUUUAUCCAUUUCUUCGACAAGUAUUUCCGGACGGAGGGAGUAACAU